GGAAUGCAUCGAGCUUGAAAGCUCCGGCGCUCAAGGAUGGGUCUGCGGCCUAUCAGGUAGUAGUGGGUGUAGCGUACCUACUAGCCUACGACGGGUACGGGUUGUGAGAGCAAGAGCCCGGAGAUGGAUUCUGAGACACGAAUCCAGGCCCUACGGGGUGCAGCAGGCGCGAAAACUUUACAAUGCUGGAAACAGCGAUAAGGGGACCUCGAGUGCCAGGUUACAAAUCUGGCUGUCGUGAUGCCUAAAAAGCAUUGCAUAGCAAGGGCCGGGCAAGACCGGUGCCAGCCGCCGCGGUAACACCGGCGGCUCGAGUGGUAACCGUUAUUAUUGGGUCUAAAGGGUCUGUAGCCGGCCGGAUAAGUCUCUUGGGAAAUCUGGCAGCUUAACUGUCAGGCUUUCAGGAGAUACUGUCUGGCUCGAGGCCGGGAGAGGUGAGAGGUACUUCAGGGGUAGGGGUGAAAUCUUGUAAUCCUUGAAGGACCACCAGUGGCGAAGGCGUCUCACCAGAACGGACCUGACGGCAAGGGACGAAAGCUAGGGGCACGAACCGGAUUAGAUACCCGGGUAGUCCUAGCCGUAAACGAUACUCGCUAGGUGUCGGCAACGGUGCGACCGUUGUCGGUGCCGUAGGGAAGCCGUGAAGCGAGCCACCUGGGAAGUACGGCCGCAAGGCUGAAACUUAAAGGAAUUGGCGGGGGAGCAC
rnacentral:rRNA from 1 species